rnacentral:lncRNA from 10 species
UAUAUAUAUAUAAUAGUUUAUUAUGUACAGUUAAUUCUACUGUUUUGGCUGCAAUAAAAUCGAUUUUGAAAUAAAUGAAAUGUUGAAAAUUUUGCUAGUUGGUUAGAUGCUUAUCCUUUAAAUUCUACUUUUCUUGAGGUGAAAAAGUCUUCCUCUGGAAAUACAUAUCACUGCAAAAAUGUAGCAUCCUUUUUUAGGUAGGAGUAUUAUAGCUUUCAUUUUAGUUUGACAUUUAGUGUCCCAAUGAAUUGAAUUUCAAAUAUGAAUCAUAAUCUUGAAAAUCUUUAGCACUAAAGUCUUGGAAUAUAUCAACAACUGAUUUACAUAUGCAGAUGCUAUUUGAUACCAAGGGCUUUUUAAAUGUCAUGGGGGGGAAAUCCCAACUUGGUGAACUCCCAGCUAAACAGCCAAGACUUCACUGAAGAUUUAUUCCAAUUCUAGAAUUGUUCUUUUUUAUUUUUAUUUUUUCAACUGACUAACUUCAUUACCUUAAAGCCUAGAACAUUAUUCUGCUUUAUUUAUAUGGCUUUCUCACUUUUAUUUUGUAGCAUGGGUUGCAUCGACUUUUUUACUAGAGAAUUUUACUAGAUAUUUGUCAUUCAAGUUUUCAUCUGCUUUAUAAUUGAUACACCUUGAGGGUCACUUUUCUAAUACUUUUACUAUAAUGUGGUACCACCUCAGCCCUAAUAAAUAAUAUUUUUACCUAAUGUCAAAUCUUUUUCCAGCUAACUAAAAACUAUGUACAAAAGGAUUGCUUGUAAAUAUGCAUGUAAAUAGUUCUGUUAAUAACCCACUGUUUUACAUUUGGUACAUCUGUGUCUGCUAAUACAGUUAGCUUUCUCACUUUUCUGCUUGUUUGUUCAGUCUGAAUUAAAAUUAGACUUUGAAAAUAAAGCUUAAAUAGUU